rnacentral:rRNA from 1 species
GAUGAACGCUGGCGGCGUGCCUAACACAUGCAAGUCGAACGGAAGGACAGUAAGCUCGUGCGGUUCCGGGUGGCGGGUGGCGGGCGGGUGACGAGUGCAUCGUGCUCUUCUAUUUCGGGGAUGAUAACGUAAGAAGGUAUACGAUAAGACAGAAUAUCAUGCACCGGGGAGUGCAGAGGAAAGUGGCGGCCGUUGGGGUUGUAAUAGCUGGUGCCGGAUUAGCUAGUUGGGCGGGUAAGGGCCUAGCAAGGCGACGAUACGUGGCCGGUCUGAGAGGAUGAUCGGCCACACUGGAACUGAGCCACGGUCCAGACUCCUACGGGAGGCAGCAGUAGGGAAUGUUAGGCAAUGGGCGCAAGCCUGACCCAGCCAUACCGCGUGAGUGAAGAAGGCCUUCGGUUCGUAAAGCCCUCUUGUUGGGUAAGAACAGCUGUAGGUUUAGACGCCGCUUUUCUGACGGUACCGAAUGAAGAAGCACCGGCUAACUACGUG